CCCAGCCCAGGAGCCCUAGGUUUUCCCAUUCUGUGACCAGGACAGAACGCAGACAUCUCACCAUGGAGUUUGUGCUUCGCUGGGCUUUCCUUGUUGCUGUUUUAAAAGGUGUGCAUUGUGAGGUGCAACUGGUGGAGUCCGGGGGAGGCCUGGUGAAGCCUGGAGGGUCCCUGAGACUCUCCUGUGCAGCCUCCGGAUUCACCAUCGGUAGCUACGAAAUGUACUGGGUCCGCCAGGCUCCAGGGAAGGGGCUGGAGUGGGUUGCAUACAUUUAUAGUAGUGGAAGUAGCACAAGCUAUGCAGACUCCGUGAAGGGCCGAUUCACCAUCUCCAGAGACAACGCCAAGAACACAGUGGAUCUACAGAUGAACAACCUGAGAGUCGAAGACAUGGCCACGUAUUUCUGUGCGAGAGACACAGUGAGGACUUUAAUUCCUCAAGACUUUAACAUUAUUAUUGAUUUAAAAACUUGUUGUUCUUACAUUUCCAUUACAGCCAGAAGACAAAGAAAAUUUCACUUUCAUUCUCCUUACUAUUAA